UGCCUAGCAACUCCUAUCCCUACCUCCUCGUGGUACUGGCCGGGGUACGAGUAACCUUGGGGAAGAUCGGGUAACCAACCCCCGGUGGGAACUUUGGUCGUAUGCUGACAGGGAAGG
rfam:Aedes aegypti strain Liverpool supercont1.1889 genomic scaffold, whole genome shotgun sequence.